rnacentral:lncRNA from 1 species
CCGUCGGCCAUAGUUGGCCCCUGCCAUGGCAGCGCCACCCAAGCAGCCCGAGCCCACCGGCUAUCCCCCUGUACGAAUGUUGUGUUCGUACGUUUUCCCCGGAUCCCUGCUGCCAUCACCAUGCAGCCCCUCGCCACUGUCGCCGGAGUUAUCCGUGGCCACUGUGGGCCCUGGAGCCGCAUUGUAGCUCCCAAGAUCCCA